GCUGCUCCAAAAUCCCUUCUCCUCUCAAAUGCUCUCUAACCCCUAGUCGCCUAUUUUCGUCUCCAACCAAAUCCACCAGAGUCCAUGGCUUCUCAAGCCAUGAUCAGCCUAUAUUCUCUCCCCUUUCACCCCAAGACAUGAUUAUUCGAGUCUUUCAAGGAGUGACCCUCAACAUACCUGUACAGGUCCUCCGCCGACGUGAGUUACCUUGGCUUCUCCGGCUCCGUUCCGGUGUGUUCGAGCUCUAAAAGGCUUCGCCAUGGACCAGAUUUGUUCCAAGACCAGACCAUUCCACGCCUUCUCGUGUCUAGGAUUUUCUGAGAAACCCCAAAAAGCUUGAUUAGAGGUUUUUCUUUCCUUGUUUUCUUAGAUCUGUAGCAGAUCUUUGCUCUAUCCUAUGUUUUAACGACUUCCCCUAAUUUUCCUUUUCAAAAAAUAGGCUGUUCAAAUUACGGUUUCCAAAAAUCCUAAAACGAUUCUUCUUCUUCUUUCUUUAUGUGAAUCUGUGUGUUCAUACCAUGCUUUAGGGGUUAUUCGCUUGGUUUUUAUGAUUUGCCGUUAAUAUGCAUGUUCCUUUGCCUUUUUCGUAUUACUGCCUCUGCUGAUUUUUUCUAUAAGCAUGUUUACACGCCUGCCUUGCCUGUCCUUUUUUAAUAUUUCUCCUAUUAAAAGUGUUCACUUUUACUAGAUUUAUUUGCGUUAUGAACUUGCUUUUUUUACUGAUUUCUAAAUUUCUAUUGCAUCUCAUCUCUCUUCUGAACUGGUUUGAGUUUGAGUUUUUCUAAAGAACUUGUUCUUCACAAACUUUGUCACUCUACAGCUUCUGAUUGCAACGUGUGAUUGUGCAUUUCCUUCCCCAAGCUUAUUGUGAGAAUUUGCUUCUCUUUUAUGUGUCCUACUCGAAAUAAAUCCAUGUGUCUGUGAUUCUUGCGAGCUUUUGGUUCUAGGGUUCUACCCUAGAAACCCUAGGCUCUCAAACUCAUGCCGAGUUCAUAGACUGAAUUGGAACUUGCUUUUCUUUUUCUUAUGAUUCAAAAUUGUUUAUGAUGAUCUCUUCUUCUUUGCAUGAUGUUAGCAUGCUCCAUAGUCUGAAUUGGAACUUGCUUUUCUUUUCCUUAUGAUUCAAAAAUUGUAUAUGCAGAUCUCUUCGUCCUUUCUUGAUGUUAGCAUGCUUAUAUACGAGGGUUUUCUUUUGAAGUUGAUUCUAUUAGCUUAUGAUUGAUUUCAAUCUGCUUUUACUAAGGCUCGAUUGAUUUGCUACUGAUUCUUACAACUUAGCCUUUUCCCUAUUUUCCUGACUAAGUUCAUUCAAUGUUUUUUGUUUUGACUGUUUGAUUACUUUGUUUCCUUAUUCUUUCAAAACUGUGUACUAUAGUUUGAUACCUUAAAUACACUCUGUAUGAACAAACCCUUUAUUAUGCUACUCUGAAAGGUUUUUCUUCCCUUAAUUUCCACUCCCGUUUGAAAUCAAAUCCCUUUGGAUAAGGGAGAUUUUAUUUGAUAGAUUGAGAUUUUAUUUCCUUGCCUUCUUGUCUACUCGUUUUUGCACUAUAAAAGCUCACAGCUCUCACAAGUUCAGGGAACAACAACAAUUGUUUACACAAACACUCGAACACACACAGUUCUCAGAAUUCUUUCUGCACCCUUGCUGACACAAAAUUUUUACACAAGCACUCGAAUACAACACAGUUCUAUAAAUUGUUCCUGUACCCUUGCAAUACAUAAUCAUCCCUAUCUUUCUUUACUACUUUCUCUACUACUACACUCUCUACUACUACUUCUCUAAUGUUGCUGAGCACUCUGCUCCCUUAUCUCCUACUGUCUGAACAUUUCUGGAGUCCCUCUAAACUCCCAAGUACUUGCUGAAGUUCUAAGUUUCUCCUGUUAACUCUUUCUAGUUGUUUAUUUGCUGUUGUUUCUUUGUUGUACUAGAACUUAGAACCGGUACGUAUUUCUAAGUUAAAUAACACUCUCCUACUAUGUGUAUUCACUCUCUUCUUCUACCCAUACCUCAAUGUGUGUUUAUGUUCUGUAGCAUGUUCUUCUAUGUCCUUGCAUCUGCACUCGGCUAAUUUUUUUAUUUCCCUUAAUGUCAAUGUAUGCUUCUGUGUGGAAAUCCCUUCCUCCUAUUCCCUCUUGUGUGCUAGUACUGUUUUGAAUCAUGGCAGCAUCUGACAUUGCUGUCCAUGAUCUAGAAUCAGACUCUCCUUACUCUCUACUCAAAUGCUUUCCCAUUCCCUCUCCCCUUUUAUGGUUGAGCUAUAACUUGGAUCUGAUAGUGUCCUAAUCACCAUUUAUACCUAAGUUUUACUCCCUAGAGUCUGCUCUUAUUUGUUUGACCUAAGUAAAGGUUCAGGGGUGUGCCAGCCUAUGCCAUGGCUGGGUAUGACCACCCUCUUCUAUGGUUUCCCUCUCACUUUGCAUUCAUUCCUAGUUCCUAAGCUCUACCCCCCCCCCCCCUUUUNNNNNNNNNNNNNNNNNNNNNNNNNNNNNNNNNNNNNNNNNNNNNNNNNNNNNNNNNNNNNNNNNNNNNNNNNNNNNNNNNNNNNNNNNNNNNNNNNNNNNNNNNNNNNCCCCAUUUAGUAAGCCAUGCAUAAGUACUCAGGAGUUCCCUCUAAACAUGGAUGCCUGAGGGCUGGUAAUUCCACACUUGCACUAUUCUGUUACAAUAUCUACUCUUCAGAGGGUAAGCACUGUCUGGGCUCUUGAAGCUCCUUGGAACUUUGAAACACUCUGAAUAAGAGAAGGCCUUGAAAUUUGGAAUUGCGAUUUGGUGAAACACAUGUAUUGGAUAUUAACGUUGAAUAAGGCUUCUCGGGUCUAGCUGUGGGCUAUGAUGUAUUUUUUUUUACCUUCUUUCUUCUAAUUUUGUACUAACCUUGUAAAACGACUCGGGGGUAUAUUAGUAAAUGGUAUGGGAGGGGUUUAUAUUUAC
rnacentral:lncRNA from 1 species